AAUUCACAUGUGGACUAACUUAAUGGUUAAAACGUUUUGUGUUGGGAAAAUUAAAGGUUUGAAAUGUGAUAUUGGAUGGUUUGCUAACAUUGGUUGCUAAUAGGGUAACUGAUAAUUAGCUGGUGGUGUGGAAUAAAUCAGGUGGCACUUUACUGAUGUGAAGUUUGAAAGCUAUUUUCUGAACAUGAAAGAAAGAAAUUCGGACAGGAUUUAUGCAAGGAUACUGAAACACCACGGAUGGAUUGACGUAGAGCUAGUACCGGUAUAUAGUGGGGCAAAAGUGGAUGCUGCUAGUAACAGGUAUCGGAGGGGGCAAGACAAGGGCUAGCUAGCAUAGAGGCUAUUUUAAACUUCAACGCGUCAAACAUAAGCAGUUCUGCGUCAAAUCAUGUAAAUCAGACCGUCCGCCACCCUCGUACAUGAUAAAGAAUAGCACGAGUAAGCAAGCAGUAUCCCACUGCUGUGUGUUGGCUCGAUUAAAGAUGAUACAAACGAAUUUCCGCAUCACAUUAUGUUGGCUUGGUUGUAGUUGUUGUGGCCAGUCAAUAGACAAACUUUGAACCGUAGUUCUAUGUAAGUGUCGUGGUUUUCACCGUUUCAGUAUGUAGUUGAAUAUGGUAGAUCUGGGCAACUGGUCAACACUGUCGUGUUUUGUCUCGGUAGACGGUGUGUUAGGAAAUUACCGGCAGUUGUUUCAGAUGGAGGGUGCGACGUGCGAGAUGCACGCUGUUCGAUGGAUAAAACUGCCACGCACGACAUUUUAUAGGCAAUGGUAAUUGGUGAUACCAUGACGUUUGAAAAGAAGAUUCAAAGUUUGAGUUUUAGGUGGCAGAGUAGAACAGCAGCGUGUGAAGUGUGGCGACUACCAAGAUAUCAAUACCAGUUAUGGCUACGGGAUUUUUAAAGUACCUUCAAUGCACUGGGAACUAACGUGCUCUCCCCCUCUCUCUUCUCUCUUAAUCAGGGCCCAGGUCUUGUGGUCACAUCUGUCCAAGCUCCUACUCUGAUUGAUUGAACAGUUGGAUGAUCAGACUGAUGAUGAAAAGUGCUACACAGUUCUCACACAUCCUCUGCCUCCGAAGCCGCUGCAGUGUAAAAUCUGAGAUGUCUUUUCAGGUUUAUUUUGUGCAGAUAUCUGACAGCGAUGGUGAGGGAAGCAGUGUACCGAACUCUCAGAUGACUCGGACCAGGUGACCAAACCCAUGCAAAAC